rnacentral:rRNA from 1 species
UACGUAGGGUGCGAGCGUUAAUCGGAAUUACUGGGCGUAAAGCGUGCGCAGGCGGUUAUGUAAGACAGGUGUGAAAUCCCCGGGCUCAACCUGGGAACUGCAUUUGUGACUGCAUGGCUAGAGUACGGCAGAGGGGGAUGGAAUUCCGCGUGUAGCAGUGAAAUGCGUAGAUAUGCGGAGGAACACCGAUGGCGAAGGCAAUCCCCUGGGCCUGUACUGACGCUCAUGCACGAAAGCGUGGGGAGCAAACAGG